GUUCAACUGGAUGUAGAGAGUGUGAUGAUGGAUCUCAGAGACUUGGAAGGGCAGAAGUUAGAGGAGGUGGAUGAGGAGAAAUUACUUAAUGAACACUAUGAACGGUAUUCAGAGACUAGGUCUUGCUGUGUUGCCCAGUCUGGUUGUGAACUCCUGGAACCAAGUGAUACUCCCUCCUCAGCCUCCCAGAGUGUUGGGAUUACAGAUGUGAGUCAUGGCAUCUGGCCUAAAUUUUACUUUCGAUUUAAAAAAAGACACUGACAUAAGGUAUAAAAGUUUGGAAAAUUUCCCCAAAACCUGCUUUCCUGCUUUUUUUAGAGGGACUCUUUCUAGGAGCCCGCAGGCCGGCAAACCGAAGCCCACGGGGCAGACACAGCCUGCAGACUGUUUCUUUGGCUAAAGCACCUUUGGAAAACUUUCAUUUAUUUAUGACUGCGUUCACACUGCAGUGGCGGAGUCAAGUAGGGUAGUAGCGACGAGACUACAAAGUUGAAAGCAUUUACCAGCUGACCCUUUGCAGAAAAAUUUGCCACCACUGGCCUAGACUGUGGUGGAUCUCUGAGGAAAAGCCCCAGGCCCUUCUCUGCUCUCCCCAUCCCAUGCCAGAUCCCAAAAGGAAGGCUGUGGGAGGAACAUUCAGAGACGGUUGGAGAUCGACGGCUCAAGGAGUCAAAACAGGUUUGGGAGAUCAGGCUGUUUCGAUCUCACAUAUUUGGGUUGUCUAGACUGCUGGUUGUGAGACUGUCUUACUAUUUACACAUUCUCUAUGAAGCACAGGGAGUGAUGGUCUGUGCUUUUUCCAGACCCAAGAUCUGCGUUCCCAUGAGACCAGUCGAAGCUGUGGAUUUGGCCUUACUAGUGAUGCAGCCGCUCCCAGGACCAGCCCUUGAGUUUGAUUAUUUGCCAUCUGACCUGCAUUCUGGAAUCAGGAACAUUUGUUUAACACAAACGUCACCAUAUUGUUGUUUUCUGGCUGUGCUUUGAGCAAAGACUUCAGCACUUGGAGGUUGCCAUUUUCUUUCUUUAAAGUUGUUCACAGCAGCAAUUACUCAGUUACGAGACUUUGAAUAAUCCAGUGAUGAGGGCUUGAAUUAUGUCAUAUUAUAGAGCUGGGAAAGACAGGAUAGAGAAAAAAAUGAUUUGGGGAGCAGAACCUCCUGAAUGUGGGGAGUAAUUGCAGUGUGACUGGACACUGUACAAGUUGUUCCGGGAGAUUCCAAAGUUCCCGGCUUGAAUCGCAGGUGGUGUGGGCUCCACAGAACUAACUCAGGUUCUGAAGGUCAAGGUGUAAAAAUCAUUUCAGGUAUGGAAAUAUUGAGACUGAGUUUCUGUGACAUUCACAGAAAGAAAUUUGAUUUGAAUCUUCACAUAUAGAUGUAGACUUAAGAGGAGUGAUUAGGACUAGAGACAGAGACUUGGCACUUAGCAUAAAGCUGGAAAUCAGGCCACUGUAAUGAACAGAUGAGUGACUCUAUAAGUUUUGAUGUUAUUAGUUGAGCACCAUUUCUCAUUCCUUUUGGUCUUAGGUAAACGUCACAGAUUUCCUUUUCAGUCUUACUGCUAUUCCAAUGUUCUUAUCACAUGAUAUAUACAUUAACCACUGGCUAAAUAGGCUGUGGUACCUGGCAGAAAUGGGUAAUAUUUUUGUAUGUUUUUCAAUAAAAUUUUUUUCCAACAAAUAUAUUUAGUUGUAAAUUAUUUUUAAUCAAAGAGCGAGUGUGAUAUAAUGAAAGAGUCAUUCAGGUGAGUUCUAGUCAUGUUGCUUUCAUUGUAGUGUGUGAUUUCAAUUACAUGAGAGCUCAGAGAGCUUGUUUCACUCCUUAUAAAUUGGUGAUAG
rnacentral:lncRNA from 1 species